rnacentral:misc_RNA from 2 species
AAAGUCGUAACAAGGUCUCCGUUGGUGAACCAGCGGAGGGAUCAUUACAGAGUUGCAAAACUCCCUAAACCAUCGCGAACCCACCCCUAAACAGUUGCUUCGGCGGCGCCGGAGGCCCUACGGCCCGAGGCCCGCCGGGGACCCCCCAAACUCUUGUUUUUUCACAAAUGGCCUCUCUGAGUACUGUACUUUAAUAAGUCAAAACUUUCAACAACGGAUCUCUUGGUUCUG